AGAGUUUGAUCCUGGCUCAGGAUGAACGCUGGCGGCGUGCCUAACACAUGCAAGUCGAACGAGAAAGCACCCUCGGGUGCGAGUAGAGUGGCGAACGGGUGAGUAACACGUGACCAACCUGCCCCCGACACCGGGAUAACCUGGCGAAAGCCAUGCUAAUACCGGAUACUCCCGGGAGGGCGCAUGCCCGCCCGGGGAAAGCCCAGGCGGUCGGGGAUGGGGUCGCGGCCCAUUAGGUAGUAGGCGGGGUAGAGGCCCACCUAGCCGACGAUGGGUAGCCGGGUUGAGAGACCGACCGGCCACAUUGGGACUGAGACACGGCCCACACUCCUACGGGAGGCAGCAGUGGGGAAUUUUGCGCAAUGGGGGCAACCCUGACGCAGCAACGCCGCGUGCGGGACGAAGGCCCUAGGGUUGUAAACCGCUUUCAGCAGGGAAGACACUGACGGUACCUGCAGAAGAAGCUCCGGCUAACUACGUGCCAGCAGCCGCGGUAAUACGUAGGGAGCGAGCGUUAUCCGGAUUCAUUGGGCGUAAAGCGCGCGUAGGCGGCUCGCCAAGCGGGAUGUCAAAGCCCGGGGCUCAACCCCGGCCCGCAUCCCGAACUGGCGGGCUUGAGUUCGGUAGGGGAAAGUGGAAUGCCCAGUGUAGCGGUGAAAUGCGCAGAUAUUGGGCAGAACACCAGUGGCGAAGGCGGCUUUCUGGGCCGUAACUGACGCUGAGACGCGAAAGCUAGGGGAGCGACCAAAAAGAGCUACCCUGGUAGUCCUAGCCGUAAACGACCCUAAAAGGGUGGGGGCCGUCCCCCCGUGCCGAAGCCAACGCAU
rnacentral:rRNA from 1 species